rnacentral:rRNA from 1 species
CUGUGAGCUCGAUGAGUAGGGCGGGACACGUGGUAUCCUGUCUGAAUAUGGGGGGACCAUCCUCCAAGGCUAAAUACUCCUGACUGACCGAUAGUGAACCAGUACCGUGAGGGAAAGGCGAAAAGAACCCCGGCGAGGGGAGUGAAAAAGAACCUGAAACCGUGUACGUACAAGCAGUGGGAGCACAGAGCAAUCUGUGUGACUGCGUACCUUUUGUAUAAUGGGUCAGCGACUUAUAUUCUGUAGCAAGGUUAACCGAAUAGGGGAGCCGAAGGGAAACCGAGUCUUAACUGGGCGUUAAGUUGCAGGGUAUAGACCCGAAACCCGGUGAUCUAGCCAUGGGCAGGUUGAAGGUUGGGUAACACUAACUGGAGGACCGAACCGACUAAUGUUGAAAAAUUAGCGGAUGACUUGUGGCUGGGGGUGAAAGGCCAAUCAAACCGGGAGAUAGCUGGUUCUCCCCGAAAGCUAUUUAGGUAGCGCCUCGUGAAUUCAUCUCCGGGGGUAGAGCACUGUUUCGGCAAGGGGGUCAUCCCGACUUACCAACCCGAUGCAAACUGCGAAUACCGGAGAAUGUUAUCACGGGAGACACACGGCGGGUGCUAACGUCCGUCGUGAAGAGGGAAACAACCCAGACCGCCAGCUAAGGUCCCAAAGUCAUGGUUAAGUGGGAAACGAUGUGGGAAGGCCCAGACAGCCAGGAUGUUGGCUUAGAAGCAGCCAUCAUUUAAAGAAAGCGUAAUAGCUCACUGGUCGAGUCGGCCUGCGCGGAAGAUGUAACGGGGCUAAACCAUGCACCGAAGCUGCGGCAGCGACGCUUAUGCGUUGUUGGGUAGGGGAGCGUUCUGUAAGCCUGUGAAGGUGUACUGUGAGGUAUGCUGGAGGUAUCAGAAGUGCGAAUGCUGACAUAAGUAACGAUAAAGCGGGUGAAAAGCCCGCUCGCCGGAAGACCAAGGGUUCCUGUCCAACGUUAAUCGGGGCAGGGUGAGUCGACCCCUAAGGCGAGGCCGAAAGGCGUAGUCGAUGGGAAACAGGUUAAUAUUCCUGUACUUGGUGUUACUGCGAAGGGGGGACGGAGAAGGCUAUGUUGGCCGGGCGACGGUUGUCCCGGUUUAAGCGUGUAGGCUGGUUUUCCAGGCAAAUCCGGAAAAUCAAGGCUGAGGCGUGAUGACGAGGCACUACGGUGCUGAAGCAACAAAUGCCCUGCUUCCAGGAAAAGCCUCUAAGCAUCAGGUAACAUCAAAUCGUACCCCAAACCGACACAGGUGGUCAGGUAGAGAAUACCAAGGCGCUUGAGAGAACUCGGGUGAAGGAACUAGGCAAAAUGGUGCCGUAACUUCGGGAGAAGGCACGCUGAUAUGUAGGUGAAGUCCCUCGCGGAUGGAGCUGAAAUCAGUCGAAGAUACCAGCUGGCUGCAACUGUUUAUUAAAAACACAGCACUGUGCAAACACGAAAGUGGACGUAUACGGUGUGACGCCUGCCCGGUGCCGGAAGGUUAAUUGAUGGGGUCAGCGCAAGCGAAGCUCUUGAUCGAAGCCCCGGUAAACGGCGGCCGUAACUAUAACGGUCCUAAGGUAGCGAAAUUCCUUGUCGGGUAAGUUCCGACCUGCACGAAUGGCGUAAUGAUGGCCAGGCUGUCUCCACCCGAGACUCAGUGAAAUUGAACUCGCUGUGAAGAUGCAGUGUACCCGCGGCAAGACGGAAAGACCCCGUGAACCUUUACUAUAGCUUGACACUGAACAUUGAGCCUUGAUGUGUAGGAUAGGUGGGAGGCUUUGAAGUGUGGACGCCAGUCUGCAUGGAGCCGACCUUGAAAUACCACCCUUUAAUGUUUGAUGUUCUAACGUUGACCCGUAAUCCGGGUUGCGGACAGUGUCUGGUGGGUAGUUUGACUGGGGCGGUCUCCUCCUAAAGAGUAACGGAGGAGCACGAAGGUUGGCUAAUCCUGGUCGGACAUCAGGAGGUUAGUGCAAUGGCAUAAGCCAGCUUGACUGCGAGCGUGACGGCGCGAGCAGGUGCGAAAGCAGGUCAUAGUGAUCCGGUGGUUCUGAAUGGAAGGGCCAUCGCUCAACGGAUAAAAGGUACUCCGGGGAUAACAGGCUGAUACCGCCCAAGAGUUCAUAUCGACGGCGGUGUUUGGCACCUCGAUGUCGGCUCAUCACAUCCUGGGGCUGAAGUAGGUCCCAAGGGUAUGGCUGUUCGCCAUUUAAAGUGGUACGCGAGCUGGGUUUAGAACGUCGUGAGACAGUUCGGUCCCUAUCUGCCGUGGGCGCUGGAGAAUUGAGGGGGGCUGCUCCUAGUACGAGAGGACCGGAGUGGACGCAUCACUGGUGUUCGGGUUGUCAUGCCAAUGGCACUGCCCGGUAGCUAAAUGCGGAAGAGAUAAGUGCUGAAAGCAUCUAAGCACGAAACUUGCCCCGAGAUGAGUUCUCCCUGACUCCUUGAGAGUCCUGAAGGAACGUUGAAGACGACGACGUUGAUAGGCCGGGUGUGUAAGCGCAGCGAUGCGUUGAGCUAACCGGUACUAAUGAACCGUGAGGCUUAACCUU